GCCCUCUUUUCCCACAGUAUAGACAUAGACCAUGGGCUCUCCUGCGGUCUUUUUCCUUAGGGGACAAUCUAGUCCUGGUGAAGCCAAUCUCCAUGGGUUCCUCCAUGUCGACUGGAGUUUCACUGCUAGCUCGAGUGUAAACAGGGUUACAAGGCGGGUCCUUGAAAGUGGGUUCAUGCUGCAACAUGAUGGGAUUUUUGUAUCCAUAAAACAAUUCCUCUUCUCUAGGCAACCGGGUUCUGCGAGGACCUGAAAUGGGUUUGGAAGUUGCUUUUCUUGCUGCAAAACACUGAGAAUCCAUUGCGGACAUAAACAACUCCCAGGAGUCCAAGACAGUACUUCUCUCCUGCAACUUCUGGUGUGCCCACGCCUUAAUCCGCCCGGUGCAUAGGUUAAUAGCGGAGCGUACUUUGAUAAAGUCGGUGGCGUAGGUUCUCGAUUUCAGGGCAAAUAGUAGCUCACAAUCCGUCUUGAACAUCGGAAAGGUAGAACGGGAACCGUCGAACCUGUCAGGCAUAAAGACAUACGGUUCUGGGUAUACAUGUUCCGGGACUGGAAGCGUUGCUCCUUUAAAUGCCAAUGAAUGUCUCUGUAAAUCUGUAACAUUCUGGGACAGGUUGGAGAUUUGCUCGGCCAGGGAGGUGAGUAACUUGUAUAACUCUGUAGACUCCAUGGUCAGUUCAUCUGUAACGGAGUCUUACCUGAUAGGGAGUCCAGCUCGCAGAGUUAUACGCUCACCCUUGC